UACAGAGGUCUCAAGCGUUGUUCGGAUUCAUUGGGCGUAAAGGGUGCGUAGGUGGCGCGGUAAGUCGGGUGUGAAAUUUCGGAGCUUAACUCCGAAACUGCAUUCGAUACUGCCGUGCUUGAGGACUGGAGAGGAGACUGGAAUUUACGGUGUAGCAGUGAAAUUCGUAGAUAUUCGCAAGAACACCAGUGGCGAAGGCGGCUCACUGGCCCGAUACUGACGCUGAGGCACGAAAGCGUGGGGAGCGAACCGG
rnacentral:rRNA from 1 species